AUGACUUCUUUUCCUGUGCUCUUCAUCUCAUUUCUUCUCAUCAUCAAAGGGAAUCAUUGUCAACGAUGUUCUUUUGCUGAUAUCAUAAUGGAGCAAAACCAGACAGAGAUCAUAGUACAUUCAAUGCCAGAAUUUAAAGUUACGUUGUUUAAUGCCUGUCCUUGUCUUCAAACAAAUAUCAUAUUAAACUGUACAGAUUUUAAAUCAGCAGAGAAGAUAGAACCUAAUGUUUUGGUGAUCAAUGGAAGUAAGUGUAGUCUUCCAAAAGGAACGUUUAUUCCUCCAUUUACAGGUUAUGUUUUUAGCUAUGCCUGGGAUUCUUUGUUUCCAUUUAAGCCACUUUCCUCCAAUCCUGUUUGUUAGAAAAUUGAUAGAAUAACAAGGAAUUUCUUUUUUUAUA